GUUGGAUUGUUUUAGAUUUUAUUCUCUUGAUAUUCGAAAGUUUAUCAUGGACUGUUAAUAAAAUGGUCUCUAAAAAAUUUGAAAGGCGUGUUUUAUAGUUUUGCAUAUUUUUGAAAACUCGAUCUCGAAUUUAAGAAGGUGUGUGUCCAAAUGUUUUGAUUUUUUUUUUGAAGAAAUGGUUGCAAAGAAAUGUCCUAAAAAAUGAAAGUUUCAUCUAGAUAAAUUGGAAGUUCACCAAAGUUAAAACUUCUUUCAGAAAAAAAGAAAGUACUCUUCUGUUUUGAACAUUCUUUCAGUAAAAUGAAAAUUCCCUCGUCAGAAAAACUGAAAGCCUUCCGUAAAAAUUUGAAAGUUCUGUCCAAAGCGUUAAAAUUUGUCCUAGGAAAACUAAUAGUUCUG
rnacentral:lncRNA from 1 species